rnacentral:rRNA from 1 species
AGUGAACGCUGGCGGUAGGCCUAACACAUGCAAGUCGAACGGCAGCACAGGAGAGCUUGCUCUCUGGGUGGCGAGUGGCGGACGGGUGAGGAACACAUCGGUAUCUACUCUGUCGUGGGGGAUAACGUAGGGAAACUUACGCUAAUACUGCAUACGACCUACGGGUGAAAGCAUGGGACCUUCGGGCCUUGCGCGAUUGAAUGAGCCGAUGUCGGAGUAGCUAGUUGGCGGGGUAAAGGCCCACCAAGGCGACGAUCCGUAGCGGGUCUGAGAGGAUGAGCAGCCACACUGGAACUGGGACACGGUCCAGACUCCUACGGGAGGCAGCAGUGGGGAAUAUUGGACAAGGGGGGCAAGCCUGAUCCAGCCAUACCGCGUGGGUGAAGAAGGCCUUCGGGUUGUAAAGCCCUUUUGUUGGGAAAGAAAUCCAGCUGGCUAAUACCCGGUUGGAAUGACGGUACCCAAAGAAUAAGCACCGGCUAACUUCGUGCCAGCAGCCGCAGUAA